rnacentral:lncRNA from 1 species
ACCUAAAUACCACAUGCUGCAAUAUUAAAUCAGCAUUCUCUUCCUUCUCAAGACGUUUUCCUAACUGCUGCCAUCCCUUUGAAAACUCAUUAACCAUCUUAGCCGCCAUAUUGCUUUGCAACGACGUCCCAAACCAAAAUGCACGACUAAACUCAUAGUCAAAUAAAAGAUGAGCCUCAGUUUCAUCACCCGUUCUACACAAUUCACAUCUAUUCACUACUCGGAUUUGUCAAAUCUCCAAAUUAUGCCUAACCGCCAAAGCCUUCCUACACGCCUUCCAAAGAAAGAACCGGAGUUUAUUCAGUACUGCAAGAGUCCAUAUCAUCUUCGACAUCCCUCCCAAUUCACCCGAGGAACUAGACAUCCCGCUUCCUUUCCUUCCAAACUCACCAUUUUUCAUCAUUUCCCUCGCAACAUGAUACCCUAACCUUAUCGAAUACAACCCGUUCAUUGGGCAUUUGUUUGGUUUGUAAGUGUGUGUUUGUUUUAAUAAAAGUUCCUCGUUGGCGAUUCUUUUGGGAUCCCACUUUCCAAAAAAAAAAAAUUACAUUGAAUGAAAUAAAACUUAUUUAUUGAUAUCUCUGAAAAAUUACAGAUAUGUGCAUACAUAUGAAAAAAAUAAAUAAAACAGGAGGGAGCUUUCAUAAAGGUUGCUCAUGACGCCUCAGUACUUGGCGGAACUUCAGGAAGAAAAGGCACCAGCGGUUGA